GAUGAACGCUGGCGGCGUGCCUAAUACAUGCAAGUCGAGCGAAUGGAUUAAGAGCUUGCUCUUAUGAAGUUAGCGGCGGACGGGUGAGUAACACGUGGGUAACCUGCCCAUAAGACUGGGAUAACUCCGGGAAACCGGGGCUAAUACCGGAUAACAUUUUGAACCGCAUGGUUCGAAAUUGAAAGGCGGCUUCGGCUGUCACUUAUGGAUGGACCCGCGUCGCAUUAGCUAGUUGGUGAGGUAACGGCUCACCAAGGCAACGAUGCGUAGCCGACCUGAGAGGGUGAUCGGGCACACUGGGACUGAGAGACGGCCCAGACUCCUACGGGAGGCAGCAGUAGGGAAUCUUCCGCAAUGGACGAAAGCCUGACGGAGCAACGCCGCGUGAGUGAUGAAGGCUUUCGGGUCGUAAAACUCUGUUGUUAGGGAAGAACAAGUGCUAGUUGAAUAAGCUGGCACCUUGACGGUACCUAACCAGAAAGCCACGGCUAACUACGUGCCAGCCGCCGCCGUAA
rnacentral:rRNA from 1 species